rnacentral:lncRNA from 1 species
UCCACCGCGUCUCCAUGGCUUAAGGUUAUAGAAGGCUACGCAGACCUGCAGCAUAGCUCGCAGGAGGCGAGCAAUCCUAAUUGCCCGAAUAGCUAAGGAAAAGGGAGAAGAGGUACGAUACAUGUAUACUAGAAUCGACUUUGACGCCAAAGCCAAGCCGAAAGCCCAAAUUACAAGGUUUUGUGUCCCCUCCACAUGCAUUUUGGAGUGAAUUUCGCCAUUAGUUUAUUAACUUAAACUAAUUGCAUGUUUUAGACGAUCAACUCACGAACUGGUAAAUUUAGGUCAUAAACUCAUUUAUUUGAUCGAAUAAGGACAAAACUGAUUUGAGAAUGAAAAGACUGGCUACAUGGCUGCCAUGUCAGCAUAGCUUAGACCCCUGGACUUUUGGUUAAUUUUUAUAGUGUUUUUUUGGGGUCAUUCACGAUAGGCUAACGGUGAAGGGAUCAUUACCGUCAAAACUCGGCAAUCAAGAGGUCACGUGAUAAGGAAAAUACCGCAAAUUUGUAAUAUAAGAAUAGGCAGGGCCACUAGUUGAAUGCUUAGAAUUUACUAGAAGAGUGACUGUACUCUCAGUCAACUCAUCAACACUAGGUUCUCGACGCUAUGUGUGUCUAACUGAAUGCAGAUAAUUGCUUUGAAAUAUUUUUUCUGUACCUAAAUAAUUAUUUUUUAUACUUCUCUCCAACAAUAAUUACGUAGAUACAGAGGAAGUAGCAUAUUUCUUCAGUUAUGUAACCAGGUGAGUUGGCACCGGAGACUUUUCGUAAAAUGUAGUUCUUUUACGGAUAUGGAAGCAAUUGUAGUUGCUCCAAUAACAGUUGUUAUUGUACCUAGAGACUGACAAUCAACAAAUGCAUUUACUAUAAUCUCAUGAUUUAUGACAAUGACCACCUCAAGAAAAAUAUGGCGCUGACUAUUUUACACAUGGUGAAAAGAAUACAAGCAAGAGGUAACACCGCGAGAGGAACACACCCCAUUGGCAAAAGACACAUCUAUAUUCUAACACUUGUAGACGGAACAUGCUGAUGUUGCUCGCAGGUGGAUUCGAACAAUGGGCUGUCUUAACAUAAAGCGAUUAGGCUCUGAACGAAGUCUGGCUAGCCGAUGAGAGGAUCUGCAGAUCCCUACAACACACGAGUGGAUAAUCCGCAUCGUUGUGAUUAGUUUAUCUCCAAUAUCUCAUAAAAUCGCUGCAGUGUGAUGUCAAACAUAUCCGUGCCAUUUUGGAUCUCUACCAAGAUGGCUGAGAAAGACGCGGGGCGUGGAUUUAUGUAGCAUCCGAAGUUGCCAAGAUUACCAUAAGAAUUCUCACUCACUUUGUGUGUUGGUAGGCAUGCUAAACAGGUGGGUUGGCUCUUUGACAAGGUACAUGUUGCAUGUAUGGUUGGCUCUUUCUCAGUGACCGACUGUAUGCCCUAUUUGUUUAUUUGCGUGGACACACUUCUUAUUUUCUUCCUCGUAUAUUCGGUCUCUUACACGUGAUUGGAGGAGAGGAAAAAGAGAAAGAAAAGAAUGAAUGAAAAAAGAAAAAGAUGGUCCGGAUGAGGUCGCGUCCUACGUGGCGGACAGAUCGGACAUGCCCGGACGCGUCCACGAGUCCUCAUAUCUUCAUUAUAUUUAAGAUGGAUAUGAGGGUUUGCGGACAGCUCAGUCGUAUAGGGAUGAUAUAGGGGUUCGGUUGGAUCAUUUUUCUUUUUUUCUUUUGUCCGAGCAGUAACCGGGAGCGUCCGCAAAUGUGUAAGGGGUCUUUCAAGACGUACGGCUGUAGAUGCUAUAACAUGGUCAAACUUGCAAUAAGCCUAGUUCACGCUUUUUCACCCGAAGCACCCACACUUUUCUUUCGUCGUUUCUAGAAG